CCUACGGGAGGCAGCAGUGGGGAAUAUUGCACAAUGGGGGGAACCCUGAUGCAGCGACGCCGCGUGGGUGAGGAAGUACUUCGGUAUGUAAAGCCCUAUCAGCAGGGAAGAAAAUGACGGUACCUGACUAAGAAGGCCCGGCUAACUACGUGCAAGCAGCCGCGGUAAUACGUAGGGGGCAAGCGUUAUCCGGAUUUACUGGGUGUAAAGGGAGCUUAGACGGCGUGCCAAGUCUGGUGUGAAAGGCGGGGGCUCAACCCCGGGACUGCAUUGGAAACUGGCAUGCUGGAGUGCCGGAGGGGCAAGCGGAAUUCCUGGUGUAGCGGUGAAAUGCGUAGAUAUUAGGAGGAACACCGGUGGCGAAGGCAGCUUACUGGACGGUAACUGACGUUGAGGCUCGAAAGCGUGGGGAGCAAACAGGAUUAGAUACCCCAGUAGUC
rnacentral:rRNA from 1 species